CUGACUUGCUUAAGAUCAGAAAGCUGGUUAGCAAUGGAGUUGAGAGCACUGGCUUUCUGGCCAAAAGCCAUAGAUAAUUCUGCAGGGCAUGCUGGUGGAGGGUGUGGGCUUUUAUUUUAUUUUUUUUUAAUCCUUCAUCCAACUUGAAUAAGAUAGAACAAUUUCUAAAUAAAUAAAUCUGAGCCAGGACUUUGCUAAGUGCUGGGGAUACAUAGUUACUGCCCCCAAAUCAGCAAAUAAUUUCACAAGAGUUGAUACUCCCACAAGUCUAAGUGUCGGGUAGAGAGACGCUGGGGUGCCAAGGAUUCCACAGAGGGGCUGAUUCAACUGCUGAGGGAGAGGGGAUGGGUCAAUACAGGCUUCAUGAGUUCGGGGACCCAUGCUAAGUCUUGCAGGACAAGGAGAAUUAAACCAGCCCACACCCGGACACCAGCAUUCCUGACUUGGACCAUGGACCACCUUGCAAUGAAUUGCACUAUGUCCACUGAGGCUGCAGCGAGGAGGAUAAAUGCGGGUGGACCUCCACAGGAACAAAUCAGAUCCAUGUCAGGUGGCACCAAACCUAAAUCUGCUUCUGCCUCAGCAGACAGGACACGUAGCUGUGGCUGCUGUGACUUCUGUGGCACUUGGGAUGGAAAAACGUGGGAUGCAAACCUAUUCUAG
rnacentral:lncRNA from 1 species